GCCUUACUGCUUGGUGGUGUUCUGGAGAGAAAAGGACAAAGGCUUCCCGACCAGACAGCACGGAUGAAAAGAUUAAGGCAGCUCUGGGCAGCUGAAGGGAGCACAGCAAGGCUGAGGGCUCAAGGGUGAUGCUUAUGCACUGGGGACUGACCACACUGAUCUGUUUCGGGCAUAGGGAAAUAUUUUUUUUUCUUGGGAAUUUGCAGUCCCUCAUACUUCUUCCUGCCUCCAGCUAUACCUGUCCUAACCAAAGCACAUCUUCAAAGAGAGGCUCAUCCUGGAGUUCUGACCCGAUCCUGGAGCCGGAUCCUUCCAGGAGGCACCUACAGGCAUACUUAUGUGGGUUCCUCCAAGAAAGCUCAGUCAGGCUGCCAGGGUUAUGAC
rnacentral:lncRNA from 1 species